CCGGCACAAACAUCUCUCAAUAUUCUCUCUCUCUAUCUCUCUCAUCGGCACAAACUCCUCUUAUUCUCUCUCCUUGUAUCUUGCAGGCACAAACUCUCAAGCUCUCUCUCUCUCUUCCUCUAUAUCUUGUUGGAAUGAUGGCCCAUCUUCUCAUUCUCUCUCUCUCCAUCUCUCCUUCUUAUCUCUCUCUCUCUCUCAUUGAAACCAUCCACUUGAGAUACCUCCUUGCUCUCUCUUCAUCUCG
rnacentral:lncRNA from 1 species